rnacentral:rRNA from 1 species
UCCAGACUCCUACGGGAGGCAGCAGUGGGGAAUAUUGCACAAUGGGGGAAACCCUGAUGCAGCGACGCCGCGUGAGCGAUGAAGUAUUUCGGUAUGUAAAGCUCUAUCAGCAGGGAAGAAGAUGACGGUACCUGACUAAGAAGCCCCGGCUAACUACGUGCCAGCAGCCGCGGUAAUACGUAGGGGGCAAGCGUUAUCCGGAUUUACUGGGUGUAAAGGGGGCGCAGACGGCAAUGCAAGCCAGGAGUGAAAGCCCGGGGCCCAACCCCGGGACUGCUCUGGAAACUGCGUCGCUGGAGUACGGGAGGGGCAGGCGGAAUUACUGGUGUGGCGGUGAAAUGCGUAGAUAUCAGGAGGAACACCGGCGGCGAAGGCGGCCUGCUGGACCGUGACUGACGUUGAGGCUCGAGAGCGUGGGGAGCAAACAGGAUUAGAUACCCUUA